rnacentral:misc_RNA from 1 species
UCUCCGUAGGUGAACCUGCGGAGGGAUCAUUACAGAGGUCGUGCCCUCACGGGUAGAUCUCCCACCCUGUGUUAUUAUACCUUUGUUGCUUUGGCGGGCCGCCCUCGGCUACCGGCCCCGGCUGGUACGCGCCCGCCAGAGGACCCCAAACUCUGAAUGUUAGUGUCGUCUGAGUACUAUACAAUAGUUAAAACUUUCAACAACGGAUCUCUUGGUUCUG